AAGAAUAGUUACUGUCGCUACAAAGACAGAAACUCGGGAAGAGAAUCCAUCGCUGAAGAAAAUCUUCAUCUCCAAUAUGAGCAAAGACUAGGCCAAAGAAAAAGACUCACUCUGAAGACUUUUCCAAACAGCACUUUGAACAGGUGACAGGAGCCAAAGAAUUUGAGAGACUUGCUGCCGUCGCCAAGCUGGUCCUGGUGUUGCCCCAUUCGAAUGCAGAUGCUGAGAGGGUGUUUUCAGUUGUGGGACUGAACAAAACUAAGACCAGAAAUAGCCUGGCAUUGGAUGGCACCCUGUCCUCAAUAAUGGCCAUAAAGAUGGCUGACCUGGAGCCCUAUUUGAGAUGGGAGCCCCCCUCUGAGGUCAUCAAGGCCUCCAAGAAGGCCACAGGCCAGUACAACCUUGUCCACAGAUCUUAGAAAAUGACUAACCAGCUUCUGAUCUGCAUCUGAUACCUCAUUUUUAGUUAUUUUUGUCAUGUGUUGAUCCAUUGUAUUGCCUAAAAAGGCUACUGUUUAAGCACUUUUUUUGUUUGAUGGAACAUGUGUUG
ensembl:lncRNA